rnacentral:rRNA from 1 species
GUCUAGAGGCUUCGGCAAUGGGGGCAACCCUGACCGAGCGACGCCGCGUGUGGGAUUGAAGGCCUUCGGGUCGUAAACCACUGUCAUGAGGGAAGAAUACCGGGAUGGUGAAUCCCGGGGAGACGGUACCUCAGGAGGAAGCCCCGGCUAACUCCGUGCCAGCAGCCGCGGUAAUACGGAGGGGGCAAGCGUUGUUCGGAUUUACUGGGCGUAAAGGGUGUGUAGGCGGUUGCGUAUGUCUGAUGUGAAAUCUUCACCGCUCAACGGGAAGAGGUCAUUGGAAACUGCGCAACUCGAGUCUGGUAGAGGCAAGUGGAAUUCCUGGUGUAGCGGUGGAAUGUGUAGAUAUCAGGAAGAACACCGGUGGCGAAGGCGGCUUGCUGGACCAGUACUGACGCUGAGACACGAAAGCGUGGGGAGCAAACGGGAUUAGAAACCCGUGUAGUCC